rnacentral:tRNA from 1 species
GGCCGCAUAACUCAGUUGGCCAGAGUGUGGAGCUAAUAUAAGGCAUUCCUGUGUAUUACUCCAAAGCCGGCGGUUCGAGCCCGCCUGUGGUCA